rnacentral:tRNA from 3 species
UCUGAUUUAGCAUAUAUAUAAAUGCAUUGGAUUGUAAAUCCAUAAAAAGUUAAUAAAACUA